rnacentral:pre_miRNA from 1 species
UUCUUAGUUUUGGAGUGCGUGUCAGUUGUGCAUUUACAUGGAAUUUCCGUUUAUUUCGAAGGGAUCAUGCAUUGCAAGCUGUAAAUGCACUAUCUGGUACGCACCAGAAAAACUAAAAGU